rnacentral:tRNA from 1 species
GGGGAAUUAGCUCAAAUGGUAGAGCGCUUGCUUAGCAUGCGAGAGGUAGGGAUCGAUGCCCACAUUCUCCA